GUGCCAGCCGCCGCGGUAAUACGGAGGGUGCAAACGUUGCUCGGAAUCAUUGGGCGUAAAGCGCACGUAGGCGGCCCAGCAAGUCGGGUGUGAAAGCCCUCGGCUCAACCGAGGAAGUGCAUUCGAAACUACUGGGCUUGAAUACUGAAGAGGGUCGCGGAAUUCCCGGUGUAGAGGUGAAAUUCGUAGAUAUCGGGAGGAACACCAGUGGCGAAGGCGGCGACCUGGGCAGAUAUUGACGCUGAGGUGCGAAAGCGUGGGGAGCAAACAGGAUUAGAUACCCCUGUAGUCC
rnacentral:rRNA from 1 species